rfam:Nosema bombycis CQ1 unplaced genomic scaffold NBO_366, whole genome shotgun sequence.
GGGGCCAUAGCUCAGGGGUAGAGCAGCUGCUUUGCACGCAGUGUGCCCGGGUUCGAUUCCUGGUGGCUCCA